rnacentral:rRNA from 1 species
UACGGGGGGAGCAAGCGUUGUUCGGAUUUACUGGGCGUAAAGGGCGCGUAGGCGGUCGUGACAAGUCACUUGUGAAAUCUCGGGGCUUAACUCCGAAACUGCAUUUGAUACUGGCGUGCUUGAGGACUGGAGAGGAGACUGGAAUUCCAGGUGUAGCGGUGAAAUGCGUAGAUAUCUGGAGGAAUACCGGUGGCGAAGGCGGCAUCCUGGACCGGCAUUGACGCUGAGGAGCGAAAGCUAGGGGAGCAAACGGG